GCUCCCUUAGCUCAACUGGAAGAGCAGCGGCUUUCGAAGCUUCUAGGUGCAGGUUCAAGUCCUGUAGGGGGCACCA
rnacentral:tRNA from 1 species